GCCUGGGUGGCUCAGUCGGUUGAGCAUCCGACUUCAGCCCAGGUCGUGAUCUCGCGGUCCGUGGGUUCGAGCCCCACAUUGGGCU
rnacentral:tRNA from 1 species